GGCGAACGGGUGAGUAACACGUGGGUGAUCUGCCCUGCACUUCGGGAUAAGCCUGGGAAACUGGGUCUAAUACCGGAUAGGAGCCAUUUUUAGUGUGAUGGUUGGAAAGUUUUUCGGUGUAGGAUGAGCUCGCGGCCUAUCAGCUUGUUGGUGGGGUAAUGGCCUACCAAGGCGGCGACGGGUAGCCGGCCUGAGAGGGUGGACGGCCACAUUGGGACUGAGAUACGGCUCAG
rnacentral:rRNA from 1 species